UACGUAGGUGCGAGCGUUGUCCGGAAUUAUUGGGCGUAAAGGGCUCGUAGGCGGUCUGUCGCGUCGGGGAGUGAAAACUCAGGGCUUAACCCUGAGCCUGCUUCCGAUACGGGCAGACUAGAGGUAUGCAGGGGAGAACGGAAUUCCUGGUGUAGCGGUGGAAUGCGCAGAUAUCAGGAGGAACACCGAUGGCGAAGGCAGGUCUCUGGGCCGGUACUGACACUGAGGAGCGAAAGCGUGGGUAGCAAACAGG
rnacentral:rRNA from 1 species